ACCGUGGAGGGUCAUUGGAAACUGGGGAACUUGAGUGCAGAAGAGAAAAGCGGUAAUUCCACGUGUAGCGGUGAAAUGCGUAGAGAUGUGGAGGAACACCAGUGGCGAAGGCGGCUUUUUGGUCUGUAACUGACGCUGAGGCGCGAAAGCGUGAGGGAGCAAACAGGAUUAGAUACCCUGGUAGUCCACGCCGUAAACGAUGAGUGCUAAGUGUUAGAGGGUUUCCGCCCUUUAGUGCUGCAGCUAACGCAUUAAGCACUCCGCCUGGGGAGUACGGUCGCAAGACUGAAACUCAAAGGAAUUGACGGGGGGCCCGCACAAGCGGUGGAGCAUGUGGUUUAAUUUGAAGCAACGCGAAGAACCUUACCAGGUUUUGACAUCCUCUGACAACUCUAGAGAUAGAGCGUUCCCCUUCGGGGGACAGAGUGACAGGUGGUGCAUGGUUGUCGUCAGCUCGUGUCGUGAGAUGUUGGGUUAAGUCCCGCAACGAGCGCAACCCUUGAUUUUAGUUGCCAGCAUUUAGUUGGGCACUCUAAGGUGACUGCCGGUGACAAACCGGAGGAAGGUGGGGAUGACGUCAAAUCAUCAUGCCCCUUAUGACCUGGGCUACACACGUGCUACAAUGGAUGGUACAAAGGGCUGCAAGACCGCGAGGUCAAGCCAAUCCCAUAAAACCAUUCUCAGUUCGGAUUGUAGGCUGCAACUCGCCUACAUGAAGCUGGAAUCGCUAGUAAUCGCGG
rnacentral:rRNA from 1 species